GGUGGAGUGUCCGAGUGGUUAAGGAGCUGUGUUUAGGUAAUCAUCAUGAUACCGUAAAUCCGCAGUGGGAAACCGCGCGAGUUCGAAUCUCGUCUCCAUCA